rnacentral:misc_RNA from 1 species
UGCGAACAACAUCGUAUCUUUCGCUCGUCAGCGCACGGCUACUGCUGUUGCCUAAAAAAACCUAACUUGGUUUGAGCAUCUGUAGAUUGACUCCGUUAAUUUCUAUGGAUAACCCCCAACGGAUGCACCACUAGGGUUUCUCUGUUGUCUCUAAUGGUAAAGACUUUCAACUGAGCAUCCCAUCGUCCGGGAUAAGUGGCGAUUCCCGCUUUGAGGAUUAGAAAAGCUAAGCCUGUGAAUGAAUGGGGAGCUAAUAGCUAGGGCGGACACGGGUUCGACUCCCGUCAGCUCCAUUU